AAAUCAGUCUUUCUCUUUAAAAGCUGGGGCAAUGCAAAAAAACAAAAAACAAAAAAAAAAAAAACGUAAGGAGAUUCUAGGAAAGAUGUGCAGGGGCUUGAUUUUGAGUUUUACUUCUUCAUGACAAAGAAAUAAGGUUGAGCGUUCAUGUGUGUCAUUGUACCGAAGUUCCCAUAUUCCAGUAGUGUCAUUUGGAAUCUGUUGCUUACCCUGGGAAAAGAGGAAAUUGGAUCAAGGAAAGAUGGGAGAAGGACAAAAGGUGUAGGAUAUUUAAAGCAGAGCUUUCUCAACCAUAGCACUGUUGAGAUUUGGGGCUGGAUAUCUCUUUGUUGUAGGGGGUUGUUCUGUGCAUUCCAUUGUAGGAUGUUCAGCAGCAUCUGUGGCCUCUACCCACUAGACACCAGUAGCUCCUUCUCUCCCAGCUGUGACAACCAAAAAUGUUCCCAUACAUUACCAAAUAUCCCCUUGGGGGGCAAAAAUCUCCCCUGGUUGAGAACCACUGCUACAGAGCUUGCAUUUGGCUAGAGGGGCCCUCCAUGGGAGUACUUGCAUUAAGCAGUACUUUGGGUAUUUCCUAGGCAUUCCCCUUCCAAUAAUUAUUCUUCCCUUGGCCUGUCCUUAACUGCAUGGGCCUGGCAGGCCACUCAGCUUCCUCGUGCCUCCCAAUCAUGGGUCUGGCUGGGAUCAGCCUCUCAGGGGAAUGUGAGGUUAAAACAAGAUAUUGGCUGAAUAAAUGUGCUGUGUGGAAGUGCAAGCCAGGUCUGUUGUGGGAACUCGGAAGGAAACAAUGCAGUCUCUGUCGUAAAGGGCUCACCAUUCUGCAGUGGGGCGUGUGUGUGUGCAUGUGUGUGUGUGUGUGUGUGUGUGUGUUGAGGAGUUACUUCUAAAUUAUUAGCAGGAGAAACUUUUUGAAUCUUGGCUUCAAGCCUUUCCUUUCACAUAAAAGGAGCUGAGACCCACGUGAGAAGAUGACUUGCUUUAGUGAUGUCUCAUGUCCAGGCAGAGCUAAGAUUAGAGCCCUAAGCGGAUGAUUCUCAGAAGAGUUUCUUUUUACUCCUCUGUCUCUCUGACUUUAGACAAGAAUGCAAAUGACAUAAAGGAGCAUGUGAUGCAGACCCUGAGAGUGCAGAGCAUCCCCGUGCUCAGCAGGAGGAGGGAGUCAGUGAGGUUUUUUGGAGCACAGAUAAGCAGGAGGUGGCACUUGGGGCGGAGCCCUAGAGGUUGGAUAGGAUCUGAAAGGUGGAGCUGGGUGCAUGGUAGGUAGAGGUGACAAACAACAGCAUGGAGGCUGGGAAACAGGGACGCAUCUGAGGGGAGGGCAAGUUUUCCAACUUGGCUGGAGACCAAGUUGGCACAGGCAGUAAUAGGAAGACUGGUAGGCUGGAAAUUAAGAAAUGCUAAAGCAAAAUACUUACCAAUAUGAAAUAUAAGGUGUGAAAGUACACUCUAGACUAAAAUAGUGUUUUCCAUCUUCACCAGGUGCUAAAUGUUAACUCCACUUCUAUCAGGAAAAACCAAGUCACAAAAGUUGAAGUAACUGGAGACUAUUACCCAAACGAUACCUUUCUGACCAGCUACAAAUGUCCCUCCCUCUCUUCUUCCUCUUCCCAAGAGACUGCUGAUAGACCCACCCUGACUACAGCGGGUGCUCCUGGGUCUUGGAUGCACUAGACUCUCUGAAUGAUUGGCAGCUGGAAUGGGUUAGCCUGGAGGCGUUUAGAUUGUCCUUCUACAACCACAGAAGAGCUGUCACCGGCAGAGAGAUCCUUGGAGCAGUCAGGCAGAGAUCCUCUCAGAAGAGCUUUUGAAUAAAUGAAGUUGUUC